rnacentral:other from 1 species
GUUGACCUGGGAUGUCCGGGAAAAGCUUGUUGUUUGAACCUACAAAUGAAAUAAGGGAGUCUAGUGUUUGGCAGUUGAAGUCAGACCCCAGUUCUAAUACCGCCAUAUGGCAUAAGUCAUAUGCAACGGCAGGGGAAGGCUGAGACUUUCAAUAGGACACCCACCUAGCGAAGGCUAGGUGUCAAACAGCAAGUGAAGGCAUUUUGGGUAUUCA